rnacentral:rRNA from 1 species
CCUACGGGUGGCUGCAGUAAGGAAUAUUGGUCAAUGGACGAAAGUCUGAACCAGCCAUCCCGCGUGCAGGAUGAAAGCCCUAUGGGUUGUAAACUGCUUUUAGCAGAGACGAAAAGCUUCCAUUUAUGGGGGUCUGACGGUAUCUGCAGAAUAAGCACCGGCUAACUCCGUGCCAGCAGCCGCGGUACUACGGAGGGUGCGAGCGUUAUCCGGAUUUACUGGGUUUAAGGGGUGGGUAGACGGAGUAUUAGAAAUCUUGUCGCUUAAGGAUAAAAUUGACAAUGAUACUGGUAGUCUUGAAUUGGGUUGAGGUUAGCGGAAUGUGACAUGUAGCGGUGAAAUGCAUAGAUAUGUCAUGGAACACCAAUUGCGAAGGCAGCUAACUGGGCCUUGAUUGACGCUGAGGCACGAAAGCGUGGGUAGCGAACAGGAUUAGAUACCCUUGUAGUC